UUUACUCUAUUUGGUGCAAUUGCAAAUUUGAUUGUUUUCUUGAUUUCUCUUUCUGCUACUUCAUUAGUAGUGUACAAAAACGCAACAGAUUUCUGUGCAUUAAUUUUGUUUUCUAUAACCUUACCGAAUUCAUUUACCAGUUCCGAUAGUUUUUUGGUGGAGUCUUCAGGGUUUUCUAGAUGGGUAUUUACUUGUUGGGCAUUGCGCAGAAUGCUUCUGUGUCUCAUUACCAGCCUUACCAAGAAAGCCCCUAGGAAGUACGGAUGAAGCUGAAACUAGAAACUUAGACGGAAGAAAUAAGUUGUUCAAGUCUACGUUAACAAGUAAAGAGGCUAUACUAGAAUUUAGAUUCAAGCCUGUCUCAUUUUUUCGUCUGAGUUUUUUUUUUUGUUUGUUUGUUUUUUUUAAAGAUUUUAUUUAUUUAUUCAACAGAGAUAGAGACAGCCGGCGAGAGAGGGAACACAAGCAGGGGGAGUGGGAGAGGAAGAAGCAGGCUCAUAGUGGAGGAGCCUGAUGUGGGGCUCGAUCCCGUAACACCGGGAUCACACCCUGAGCCGAAGGCAGACGCGUAACCGCUGUGCCACCCAGGCGCCCCUUCGUCUGAGUUUUUGACCACUCUAUGUGCUAUCUUUGUUUAGUAGUAUGUGCUCACUAAAGGUUUGUUGAACAGCACGAUUGCUCCAACAGUUCGACUGGUCUCCAUUGUAUCACUAACCAUGAUGAAGGCAGCACCCAAACUCUUUUUGAAUAUUUACAGUGGUAGGCCCUGGACUAAGUGACGUACAUCAGUUAACCUAUUUAAUCUGCACAGACCAAUGGGGAAGAGGAAACGGAGACUCAAGAAGACUGAGUUGACUUGCCCAAGGUCACACAGCUGAGUAGUAGAUAGGCAGGAUUUGGUUGCAGGUUUUCUCUUACACAGUAUGAAUCUGUCUACUUGAUCACUGUAUUACUGUCUACAAAAAAAAAACCCAAGACUCAUUUUUGCCACUGUCCCUUGCUUCUUCCUUUCUUUGUCUACUCCUGCUCCUCCUUUUCCUUCUGAGAGGUCCAGACUGGGGCCCUCUUCUCAGACUGUGCCUGUCCACAUUGAACUCACUUUGCAAGAUGGGUUCCUCUGUUUAUACUUUCUUCAACUUUACUUGUUGGCACAUCCUCAUGUUGAAAUCGCCCGAUUAAGCUUAGUGCUCUGUGUACAAUAAUGGACCUAUUUGUCUGUCUUAUUUCUGACCAAAGGAGUUGGGACAGGGAGCCCAGAAACAGACCUGUAUGUAUCUGGACACCUGACUGAUGACAGGAGGCUCUGCUGCGCAGGAGGGAAUGACAGUCAUUUUAAUAAACAGUGCUGGGACCGUUGGGUAUCCAUGAGGAAAGGAGUGAAUCUUGACCCCACCUCACUUCAUACACAAGAGUAAAUUCCAGAGAGAUCAUCCCUCUACAUGUGUGGGUUAAGACAAAGUAAAACUCCAUCUAUGAGACGACACAGAAUAUCUUCAUAACCUUGAGGUAGCCAUACAUUUUUCAGGAAGACACCAAAAGCACGAGCUAUAAAGGGAAAGAUUGAUAAGUUGGAUGACAUGAACAUGAGAAACUUCGGAUCAUCAAAAGACACAUGUAACACCUAUAACUGGCAAGUGGAUUUGUACCCAGAAUGUGCAAAGACUCCAAAAAAUCCACAAGAAAAAGAACCCCUGCCCUCAAAAUGGGCAAAAGAAUGUCCCAUACGUCUAGGGCUAUGAGCUGGGUGGUUUUCCUCUCCUGGUUCCAGGUUUCAACCCGUUUGUCCCAGAUCAUUGGCACAACCUGGUGGCUGGCCUUGGGAACUCUUUAAUCCCAUGGCUCUUUCUGACAUUUCCCUUGUGUGUGGACUGUGGGCCCUUCCUUUUACAUGUCCUGACACACUCAGCUGUUCAUUCAGCCACAAGUACCUCCUUUCUCAUGAAGACGUAAUACAUAAGUCUCUUCCUCUUUUCCUUUGGGUUGUUAACUUUUGAUCAGCUAUUUUAAGAAUAUUUCUCUCCGGCUUCUUCCUCCCCACCACCCCCCCAACCUCUUUUUUCAUUUCCCUUUUUUGUACCUCCUUGUUUCGCCCUAAAAACUUGUGGUGGUAAAAGUAAUCCUGAAAUACCUGAACGUGUUUGGGGGACUGUUCUGUGGGGUCCUGAGGCAGAGCAGAGACUGGAGGCUAGUCGUGAGUUACCUCGAGGGAGAUUUCAUCUCCGUUAUAUUCUGCUGAGUUCUCCAAAGGUGGGAUGGGAGUUAGUGAACCAGGGUGAGGCUAGAUGAUGACUUGGUCGUCGUGUUGUUCUUGGAGGGCUCUGUGCCUUGGUGGGCAGCUGGGUGAUCGCUUCCAAUUUUACCGACAAAGCCCUGACAGACUCUUUUGAUGACGUGCAGAGUAGCAACUCGUAAGUGGGAGAGAGGGCCAGGGUAUUGGAAGGACUCUCUUGUCCUUCUGGGGAAUCAGGAUGAGGUACAAUUCUAGAGCUUUAGGGAUGCCUGGGUGGCCCACUUGGUUAAAUGUCCGACUCUUGCUUUCGGCUCAGGUUAUGAUCUCAGGGUUAUGAGAUCAAGCCCGUGUCAGACUCCGCGCUGGGCGUGGAGCCUGCUUAAGAAUCUCUCCAUCUCCCUCUGCCCCUCUCCCCCCCAGAUACUAGCUCUUCCAUGGUAUCAUGUAUAUUUAAAAAUAAUCCUCAAGCACCCUUCCAUUCAUAGCCCCCCACAUAGGGCUAGUUGAUGACCACUGACCUGAAGGCUGAGAUUUCUCUCACUUUUUCUCUCCAGUAGCGGCAUCUGUGAGGUAAAGCGCUCCGCGAUUAUAGACUUCCUUCCUUUAUUUUAUUUAAACCCUCCCUCUGGCAGUGCUUGCUCCCAUCUUUUUUGUGGCAAACGUAUCGUAUUUUGGAUACAUGACCACAAAGAAAACAAGUUGGAAGCUCUGCAGGUAUGUUUUGACUUUUAAAAGUUUUUGACGGUGUUUAAAAACUGAAAGUUUAAUGUUAAGUCUGGAAUUCUGCCUUUGUCCGAAAAACCGGGCGAUGUGGGCUCCUGGUGGCCUCCAUUCACAGAUGGCCUCAAACAGGCAGGGCUGGGAUGGGCUGCUGGUGAGGAGUGGUACACUCCUCCUGCUUGGCACAGGCCCCUCAACCUGCUUCACGCCUUUAUUAACCGCCUAGACCCCAAAGGCAUUGGGGUUUGUGACUGCCCGAAGUGGGUCAAGUGGGCUAGCCUGGGAACCCAACCAGUAUGUUUAAUGUUAUUUCAAUGGGAAAAUGAAUUCCAGCUUUUAAAGAGCAGAUUUUCAAAAUACCAAAAGUACUGGUUUGGGAAUGCUGAUAAGCUUCCUCAACUGGCAUGGCUAGGUCUUAGGGUGACGGUCUGGGUCUUCUCCUGUGCUGUGUAUUGGCUUAGCACCUAGAAGGUACCUGAUCAGUGGUUUACCUCCUGGGACCACUGGGUGCCUGUUGUCUGCUCCCUCCCAGGUGGUAAACCGAAAUAGUGUCUCGCUGUGGCCCCCCUGUCAGUUUACCUAGAACACCUACUCUGGCCCUAGACACUUGCAUGGAGUUUGAGGUCAGCCCCCUACACAGCUACCCUGUCUUGAGAAAAACAGUUUCUUUGCUGCUGAAAGCUCCAGGCCCUGUAAAGUAGGCCCGAAUGAGGAGAGGCGAGGACAGAGGCCUGCACUAAGCCUGCUUUCCUGGCGGAUGCCCACCAAACCAGAGUUUGUGGCGGUGAACAGAGUGAUUGCAUUCCACACCCUGGACAAGGACUGGGUAAAAGUUCAGCUCGUUCCCUGUAAAGAAAAUAAUUCUUCAUCUUUGGCAUUUCGUAGUUUUGACCCAGAUCAGUCAGAGGCCACAGAGAGCUCACGUGGUCUGUCGAGUGUGCGUAGCUUCCUGGGCCUGUCGCUGUGGAGGAGCCAAAGGGAGCUGGGGACCUGCUGGGCUCGAGGUGAAGCCCUGCCUUUUCAAGUUUGCCGUGGCCCAGCCACCCCGGGCCUCAUGGGGUGGACGGAAGGAGCCAGCACCUUCUCCUCGCUCAGAAGUUAUCUUUACCCCCGAAACCAAACACUGCAUGCAGCGCCCUGUAAAACUUCCUUGUAGACGCGAGAGUGCUUGCUAAGUAAACAUCCUCCCGUGUUUUUAGAACUGAAUUCAUUUCUGCUUCCUGGUCAUCCCAUUCGGGCUUUUCUGUGGUGGGUAUCGCACAGAAUCAGGUUAAUAGAAGAAAGACCGAGAGCAGGGACGGAGGCACCUAAAAUGACUGUUCCAUCCUAGGAAAAUUGUAAGAAGAGUAACACGGUCAUGGGAAGAAAAAGCAAAGACUUAGAAGAAAAGUGAAACGAAACAAAGCCUCCCCAAACAGAGCGCCAUCCUGACGCUGUGAAAGUCAGACUAGGGCCCAGCUGAGUCCCUGAAAUGGGGACCUUUCUCUGCACGGACUCAAGCUCCGUUGUGCCGUGGUUGGAGGCCACAGUCAGCCUCUGGCGGUAAAUUCCGUGGCUGCGUAUGGCCCUCCUCUGACCCUCACUUGCUCCUUGCUCUGUCUCUCAUGACUUAUUUGCCUCUUCUCUCUCACUUCCACCCACCCAUGACAUCUCCAUCGCCAUGGCAGUGAGCAGCCACGUCAUUCACCAAGUUCAUGGGGUGAUGGGCCAACUCUGCCGAGCCCUACUUCCCUCUGGUUCUCCCUCCUGAAGCAGGAGGCUCCCUGGCAGAGCUCAGAGCCCUUUGUUUAUUUGAUCCUGGGCUCUUGGAUAAAUCAGGAAUGUCCUGACAUGAACUUAGGCAUGUUUUUCUUCCAUGGAAAAGGAAACUACGGCAAACGGUAUUUAAGUAGGCAGAGGACCAUUCCGAGGGACUUGCUUUAGUGCCAUCAAGGCCACAUUCCUUUGGUCAUCAGACCAGUAGGUGACUUCUUUAUUGGCAUGCACUACCCCGGAGCCCAGAAGGUGUGAAUUUGAACCACUUUCCCCCCUGCUGGGAGCCUGGCACAGAUGCUCUGGGCUUCUUUUAAACCUGUGGAGUGCCACGGUCGUCUUCCAAGUGGUCUUCUUGCUGCGGGGUGAAACCGUGGCCCUGAGUAGUUGCCCGAAGAAGGCUGCUUGGGAAGCGCAGUGCAGGACAAGGUGGCCACCUGGUCUCUCGUUCUCAAGUCCCUUUCCCAGAAGUCGCAAGGUUCUUGAUGUGAUAUACCUUAUGAGUCAGCUACCCCAGGACCUGCGUGUGUCGCUCACUUCUGGUCAUGUCUAGGCUCACGUGGCGCCACUGGUCGUCAGAAACCGUUGCUGGUCUGCAUUCUUUGGACAUAGUGGUGUGGGGACCUGAGACUCCCUGGGUCUUCCUGGGUAUGCAGGGUCUGGUGAGUUGGCUUCCAACCUGCUCUGGAAACAUUUCUGGGUCGGGGGUUAGGAAAAUGCUGGGAGCUAUGUGCUUAGCUGCAGCGGGGACCUGUCCGUAUCCAAAAACAUCCCCAACUGGCCUUCAGAGCGCUGGUGGGAAAGCCCCGUCCCCGUGAGAGUUUCCAGGUGUGGGCAGGCCUCACGCCACCGUCACAGGGGCCGUGGGGGGAGCUGGCCAUUGCUCGUCUUGCCGGGCUGCCCACCCCGGGGAGAAGAACCCAGCCGUUGGCCACUCCAGGUCCAGGCUUGGCCGCUGCUCUGUUUUGCUGCUUUUCAUGUUGUCAGAGGAUCUUCUUGGGAACAAAUGACUCAGCAACCUGAAUCUCUGGGACUGAGUGGCCUAAGUGCCUUUCGAGAAGUGAUCGGACAUUUCCAGCGAGGCCCUAAAAUCCUGAGCCCGGAAAGAAUCAGGAUCCAGACUGGUUUUAUUCUGGAUUCUUCAGGCUGCCGUUCAAUGCGGUUUCUCCAGCUCCUGCCCCGAUAAAAGGAUAGCGUUCGUGGGCCUUGGCACUGCCCUCCGGCUCUCCAGGGGAAAAGCUGCAGUUCUGCUCUUGCAACACAAGGAGCAGACUGGAGAAUUUAGAUCUGCGUCACAGAGCUGAGAGAGAGAGAGGAGAGAGAGAGCGCUCCGUCGAUAGGUCUGCUAGCAACAGCCGUGCUGCAGCAGAGAGAGAGAGAGAAAUCAAGAAACAAGUCAUAGCAACACCGGGCACCAGGUUCUGCCAGCUCACUUGCCAAGCGUUCAGAAAUCUGUCGGGGGCUGGAGGCCUCUGUGUAGCCCGGGCUAAGGAGAUGACACGCAAGGUGGCACGGGCGGUUCCCGCGGGGGGGAGGUGGGUUGGUGGGGGGCAGGGGUGGGAGCAAGAGGUUGCGGGGCGAUGGUGGAAGGUUUAACGGGACCGAUUUCUGGAACAUUCGGGACUGCGGCACCCUACGGCCAGACCGAGAUUUGGGUCUGCGCAGGCAACGAUGGGUGGUCCGACGGGCUUCAGGACUUGAUGGCGUAACCCCCUUCUUCCCCCACGUACGUAUUUGCUGGGAUCGGGGGCGAUGUCUCUGCGUAUGUGGGUGCUCUGUCUUUCUCACCUUCUUUCUCGCUUUUUGCUAUUUUUUCUCUGAGAGGGUUUUUUUUUUUCCCACUUUAAUUUCUUUUCUCUUAGUGUCAGCUGCUCAAGCCUGACCGGGGUAAAGGAGAGAGGAGCAAGCUGUCCCUGGCGUCCCACCUGACCUCCCAGCCUUUGCCCCCAUUUCCUUCUGUUGGACAGACAGACAGACUGGUUUUCCAGGUUGUUUGGGUGUCAGUGUCUGUCUGUCCGUCCAUGCGAUUCUUAGGUGGAAGGUAGGGAGUGGGGAGAGAGAGGUGCUGGGAAGAAGGUGAAAGGCACAGUUUUCCAGGGGUCGCCUUCUUGAAAUGUUCGGCCCCGGGCACCUGGGGCUGGUGGGGAGCAGGUGGGCAGGAUGGGGCGUAGGUUGGGAGAGUGGGGUAAAGCUGGUAGGUUUGUCACUGCGUAGUUGGGAAAAGUGGGGAAUGGUGACGCAGUCACUGUUGCAUCUUGUUAGGAGCUCCAGGGGGACAGGUAGUGAGGCUCCCGGCAUCUGUAGGGCCAGCUGAGAGGGGUUAAGGAUGAGCUGAGAAGGGAAGCUAGCAUUUAGAGAUUAAAUGUCAUCCUUUUGGCGUUGGAAAGUUGUUUACCUUGCGCUCUCUGUGUCUCCAUGUUGGCACCUUUCCAGUUCACAUGUGAUGGCCUUCCUUGUACUGCUGCAUCAUUAACUAAGUGACUGAGCUGGCCUUCCAUUGGCCAGGGGAGGGCUCUCACUCCAGACUUUCUUCUGAUUGGUGGGUGGGCCAAUGGCAGGUGAAAACCUUUUUUUGAUUGGUUGAGGGCAGGGUAUCAAAUCUGAAUUUGCAUUUCACUUGCUUAAAGGGGAGGGGGGAGAAGCCCAGCAGCUUUCUAAAAUCUGUUUAGGGGUGUGCGUAUGCUCCUGUGUCUGUGCCUGCUUUUGACUGACCAGUUGAAGCCUCCUCUUAAGCCUUUUUCAUUUCAUGCACUCUAAGGAAGAGACGCUCAGGGUUCCCCAAACUUUUUUUUGAAGGAGGAAGGGUUGGAGAGAUGGGUGCGCAGAGGGUCGACCAAACUAGAAAGAAAUAUUUGUCCCUUAGUUUGGUGUCGGAAGAGGGAAUUUUCAAUCUGCCACACCUCAGUGUUGCGGCAAAAUAAUUCUUGGCUCUCCUGGAAAUGCACGGGCAAGGUAGGACAGAGCUGCUGCUGCUGACACUGCCACCACCAUGGGCUUCCUGCUGCCUCUGGGCUACUCCCCGGGGACCAGAGAUUUGCAUUGACGGGGCUGUCCAGAGCUGAGCCCAGUGUGGGAAGGACCUGCCUUCUGGAAGCUGCUGCUCCCUGGUGCUGGGAAAGGUACACGUCCGGUUCUUUCUCCGAGUUUAUUUCCUGUAUUGCUUACCACAAUGCUGCGAGGAGCGUCCUAUGGCUGGUAAGUGUUCUGCUCACGAUUGGAACCCCUAUUCUCCCAAAGCCUUUGCUUUUUUUUUUUUUUUUAACCUGUCAGUUCUCGGUAUCUGCAAAAUGCCUCUUACGACGUAGAUCCCCAAAACAUGUCUAUUUAAGGAAUUUUGUACAUCCCUAAUGCCAUAUGGGAGUUUGGGUGGCCGACCUUCCUGCGCCCGAGGCCUGGGUCUCUUAGUCAUUCUGUGCUGCCCUCCCUGCUACCUCAUUAACUUUCUCCUCUUCCUUUGCGGUCAGGUUCACGCAAGAUGAUGGCUUUUUUUUCUCUCUCUCUUUUUGGUAGCUGCACUUGGUGGAGUAACAAACCUCAGUUACCCUGGUCACCUUCCUCCCAGGGGAGGAGGAGGAGGUGGGAUGGUUGUAGCACCUUAGAGCAGAGUGAGCUCCAGAACGCAGAAUCGGUGGAUAUCAUACAGGGCAGGGAGCCGAGCCCUUGCAGUUGGACAGCCCUCGGUUUGCAUCUUGACCCCGCCUCGUCUUGCUGGGUGGUUUCUCUAAGGUUUCGUGACCUCAGUCAGUGACAGGGAGCCACUAGAAUCUACUACACAGAAGUGCCUAAAAUAUUGCCAAGCAGAUAGGAUCCCGGCAGAAAGUGAUGCACCUCCCUUUCCCCGGCCCAGCUGUCUUAUCAGGGUCCUGGGAAGGGAACAUAGCAGGUGGCUGGAGAAGGAAUGGGGGGGAAGGGAGCUUGCGUGGUAUCAGCAGCAGAGGCAAGGGAGGAGGUAAGCAGGCAGUACGCACCUGAAGCUGGCAAGGUGGUGCCUUUCCCCCACCUGGAAUAAAGACCCCUCUAAUGUCUGCGUCAGGGCAACGCCGUGGGAGCGGAGCCAUGAGGACAGGGCAGGUGGUGGCAGAGUGAGGGUUAACCAGUGGUCUUUCCUGGGAGCCUGGUGCUGCCAGGUUGGUUUCCCUUCUUUCUGAAUGGCAGCAGUGGCUGCCGGCUUCCUGGCGCCGUUGCAUCCCGUGGGAGGGGAGUUGGGCACCCUGAAGCCCCUCGUCACCAAUUCCGGGGCUGCAGAGCAGAGAGUGACGACAGCCCAUGAGUUGUCAGCCGACGGCAGUGGGGACCCUGGUGACGACUGCUUUGUUGUUUUUUUCCUCUUUGGAUGAUGACUCAGUGUGUCGGGAGCUGGGAGAUGGAGCGCUCAGCCGAGUGGCCAGGACGUUCUGUCAACAUGAAAGCAGCAAAAACAGCUUGUCAGGGCUUGGAGCUGACCCUGGGGCUGGGGUCAUUUUCAGAAAGGGCUUGGCAGAAAAGACCACUUCUGGGCAUUGGGUGGGGGUGACACCAGGUAUCCCAGCGGCGCUCUGUGGACUCUUGAAUUUUAGAAACCGAACAGAAAAUGCAGCUGCUUGUGUUAUUAUGAUGUGCUUGGCAAGCGGAGUCACUUUUCAAGCUCCUCUCACUCGUCCCCAACAAGAAGCAUCUUCUCAGGGCCAGAAAACCCUCUGGGAUUUCUCACCGUGGCCUAUUGCCUUGGAUAGAGGGUGAGUCUCAUCUUGGGUCGGGUGGGCCUGGCAGUCUUUAGUGAACCUGGCAUUCCGCAGCCCCAGGAGUAAGUGCCCAUCAUGGGGAUGUGGCGUCUUAAAUGUCCUCCGUUCACGUCGCAUGGAGAUGGUGGGUCCACAUCACCAGUCUCGAGCUGAAGGCCAGCUCUUGGGCAGUCUGCUUUAGCCUCCCCUUUCCUUAUUGUCCCAGAUCGAACUUCUCUUCUCCCCUUUCGUCUUCCUCAGUUCCUUCUUAGGAGAAAUAGUGGGCCUUGAGUCCUUGACCUUUCUGCCUGUAUAUAGGUGCGUCAUCAUGGCGGCUCAGGGUUCUAGGCUUUUCUUGAAUCUGCAGCAUUGCGCCAAGUGCGCGUGACAUUCCCCCCUUGCCCCGCCCGCCCGGCCCCGCCCAACCGUGCCCAACCAUGCCCAACCGUGCCCAACCAUGCCUUCUCGGGAGCAAGAGAGACCUGGACCUCCAUGGCCACUGAAUCACAGGCAAACAAACCAUUAUCCUCCGCAUCUGGCUUCCCUUCUCUCCUGCUCGCUCUCCCUCCGCCAUGGCUGGAGACUGAGAAGCAAACAACUUGUAGGUAGGGAUUGAGGGACGGCACAGCUUGGGACCACCCUGCCUGCGUACCCCUUGUGCCAUUUUUUAGGCUCACGCUUUCCUGUAGAUGAUGCUUCGCACUGACGUUUGUCACUGAGCACCUCCUCCUCUCCCCAAGGACCUCCCGGCAUGACUCAUGUGGGAUCUUUUCAGGGAGUGGCUUUGGGGCCUUGGGAGCCAGAGGGAGCAGGGAGACGUGGCUGAGGUCACAGUGGAGAGGUACGCAGGGCAAAGGACAGGAGCCAGCUGUCCCUGCCCAGAGCGCAGAGGCAGCCCCAGCUCCUUUGUGUCAUGUCUUUUUGAGCCUGAAUAGACAGCAACUUGACCUAAAAAAAAUUGUAUGUAUGUGGAUGUUAGAUCCUUUGUGUCUUUGUCCAGAAGCUGUGCAUAUGAUGAAAGCCCAGAUUCUGUACUUCAGAGAGCUCUGUUGUCUCUCAGAUUUGUUUUCCAAAAGAGGUGGUAGGCCCUCCUUGACGAGACCCAGUGCCCAUGGGGACUGGCCUUUCUUCAGGACGAAGGGCCCAGCCUUGUCUUGUUUCUGCCAUUGGCUGGUGAGCAGCAGCUGAGGGCCAUGGUCCGAGGGCCACAUGUCAGCGCCACACGGGACCCUGAUCGGGGCCCGCGCAAUUCAUUGCUUGGUUGGUUGGCCCUAAGAGCCAAGUCUACCUGUCGUCUUUUCGCCUCUUCCCCACAGAGAACUCAGAGGAGUUGAGCUCCAUGAGUAGAUGACAGCGUCUUGGAGACUCAGGCUAAGCUGAGGACGGAGCUGGUGUGCAGAAGACAGCCAUCAUACGGCCAAAUAGAAGGACCCGUUUGCAUUUAUUUGGAACAACAAAAAAAGGAGAUGGCUGUCCGCGUGGCUCUUUGCAGUAAGUACGCGUCUGCAUUCUCUCAUUUCUGCAAACAUCGGAAGCGAUAGAUGUUCACUGAACCCACCCAGCUGCUGUGCCUUCUCCUUCCUUUCCCCGCAGACCCCUGCCCCUGGUCUUCCAGCAGAAUCCGAGAUCGAUUUUCUAGUGCUGUUGGAGAGCUGCGGAGAGACUAGAUCUCAGUGUUUAGCCCCCGCAUGUCGCCCUCACGUUCAGGAGAAGUCGAUUUUCCCUCAAACGGAGCCAGAAGCCCAUGCCCCUCAGUGCAGUGUUAUUAAUGGGCCGACGGGAAGGGCCCAGCUUGCCCUCACUGCCCCCGGCAGGGAGGUGAGGCUCUCAGCUGGCUGGCUGGGGGAGGACGGUCCUUGCCAGCAUCUCGCGUGGUUCUCUGCCAAGUUCUAGCUCCAAAUCUCUAGGCCGCUAGGAACCUAGACUAUAUAUAGCGUUGUGCUAAGCAAUUCUUAUCGGACAUGUCUGCCCUCCCCUGCGGGAGAGGAGCCCUUCUCCCAGGGAACCGGAACCUCGAGAGUGUGAGCCAUCAUCUCCAAGGGGCCUUUCGUUCCAGGAAGGGCUGUGUGUCUGUGUCUGGUUCCGGAAUGCCAAGCUUUCUUUCCUUUUCCUUCUUUCAGACGCUGAUAGAUCAGAAGGUCUGAUGUGGGAUGAGGGCCAGGGGGGGCUGAUGAUUCUCGAUGAAUCUCGGGGCUUGGAGUAGGACAGGCUAGACGUUCAAAAUGUGGCCAAUGGCAUGGGGUGGCCUGUGUCACCCACCAGCCUUCUGCAUGUCUUCUUGGUUUCCUGUUUACCUUGCUUCGCCCAAGGAUGUGUUUUGACCUCUCAUGCUUCUUUUGGACCUCUUGCCUUCCCUGCCCUCCUCUACCCCUUCCUCCUCCUUCCUUUGACUUUCUUUAGGCUCCGUGACGGCACACGUGGCUAGGGCAUCCGGGAUCUGUGUCUGCUCUCUGCCCUCACCCGCCGUUGGGGCUUUCAGGGAAAUCUGCCAUUAGUCAGCCGUCCUCGGGAGGAAUUGGGGGUGACUGCGCAUGUCUUGCUGGGUGGUGGAGGGCACGACGGGCUGGAUAGUGGCCUCCACGCUAGGCGCUGUGGAGCCAGCAGGGUUGUGGUUCUGUGACCCCAAGUGCCUACUGAUGGGGACAGGAUCUGGUCUUGUCAGUGAACCAUCUCCAGGCUGCUUAUUGGAAACCAGAUGCUGUGAGAAAAUGGGAUUUAACCCCUUCCCUGCCUCCCAGGUAAGUCAGGUGCGGGCCGCCUCUUCUGGCCUUCCCUUAGCCCCCUUCCCUUCUCGUGGCGACCAUUUUCCUUAGUCAGUAGGGAAUCCUCAAACGUCUCCAUUCAGAAUCUCCCAAACAAUGCCCUCUUCUUUCCAUUCUCCUACUCCUGGCUCUUCUGUGAAUGGGGUUAGUAACCAGCAAGGGCCUGGGGGAAGGGCCCAUCCAAGUGAUCCGGCUGCGGCAUGUGGGGGGAUGGCUGGGAGCGUUGCUGGGUGUGGCAGUCGGCAGGGCAGUUGGGCCUCCCAGGGUGACUGGCCCAGAAGUCUCCUUGGCCCCCAACCUCCUGCAUGAGGUUCUGGGUUAGGGCCCCAUAGGUGCCGGGAGCCUGCGGGUGUUCCCUUCCUUGCGUACCCCAGUGGGAGGUCGCUCUUACUCUGGACACCUUUAGACUCGCUGGACUUUAGACUGUGGACUUGGUGCUGGACUUCAGGGCUCUUGCUCUACUUGGGGGGGGGAGGGUUGUUUUGGGGGGGUUUUGUUUGAGUGAAUCACUUUCUUCCUCUAGGUCCGCAUUGCCUUCACCUUAAAAAAAAAAAAAAAAAAACAAAAAAACUCUGGGUCUAGUAAGCAUUGCAUAGCGCCUCCAAGCAGUUCCCGUAGAAAUCUUUCUUUUUGCCUCACUUGAUGCUGGUCCCAGUAAUAGCAACGGUGAUUGAAAAUGGUGGUGGUCGGCAGCACUGGGGAGGUCCGUGGCAUUCUAGAGGCAGCUCAGCAAGCAGACGGUAGGCACUCGCCACGCUCCCUACCAGGGAAUCUCCCCUAUGGACUGCAUUCCUGCAGCGUUCUGGGUGAGCAGGGUCACGUUGGAAUUAGCCGACAGCAGAUUUGUCUGGGGUCUCAAGGUAAAAGGGAUGGUGCUGGGCAAUUUUAUGAUGCACUUGGCUAAUUUCCGGAGGCACCCGUGGGAUCCCACCUCUGCUCCUGUCUCAUGGAUGUCUCCCAACCCCCUUCCCGCCACUGUCCCGGAAGGACUGGUGAAUUCUGCCUGUCAGUGUUUUCAUCUUCUCUUCUCUUCCUCUGAGAUGAGUCUCUGAGUUGGCUGUGAGCAGCCUGAGGUCCUCACCGAGUGAGGCAUCCAGGGCUGUUGGGAAGAGUCCGGUGUCUCUGUUGGGAAGAGUCCGGUGUCUCUGUUGGGAAGAAUCCAGUGUCUCUUCCCUAAAGGAAUCUGACAAGUCUCAGCCCCUCCAGCCGUCAUGUAGGGAGGGAUGGCUAGGGGUGUUGGACCUGGAACACGAAUAAAGAGGAGAGAUCAGCUUUGGUGCAGCUGGGGAGAUGAGGAGGAGCCGGCCAAGUCCCUCAAGAUGUGUCAGCUAGAAUCUGGCCAGUGGCGGCUGCAGGGCCGGGGCCAGAUGGGGCUGCCGGCCAUGCUCGGGAGCCUCUGCUCCCGUAUGUGCCGUGCAGCCCUGGGCCUGGCUCAGGGUCACCGCCGUUCCCAUUCACAGCCCUGCCCUGCCCUUGGAGGGACUGAGAUAACGAGAGCAGGAAGCAGAGGGAAAGUUGGUCUGGCUCCCUGUGAUGUGGUUGUCUCUGGGGUCUCUGGUGUUUCCAGAAUUGGGGGUGGCCGUUCCCUGUUGAUUUUCCUUUUCUUGUUCCUCAUUUAGUUCUUUCCUCCCUGCUUACCAGCCUGUCUUCCACUGACAGGACACGGGCAUUACGUGUCACAAGCCAAGCCAGUAGAACAGUUGGUGUCCCCUGAGAGGGGGACCAGGCCUCUUUGGCACUUGGUUCUCAACCUUUGAAGCCCUGCAUCUGGGAGCCAGGAGGCAGUGUGGGGCCUUUCCAUCUGGGGUCCAGCAGAGGUUAACCGAGCUGGUGGCGCCGGAGCUGUGCUGGUGCAGCUUGGCCGGGAGGUGUUGGGGAGGGGCCCUGCCAGGGGACCUGAUUGGUCAGCACCUUCUCUGUUCCACUGAAUCCUGGUCUGGUCAGAACUGUGAAUUGUUUAAUGCAUAUCUUGGCUCUGUCCCCUGGCACGACGGCCUCCGAGGCUGCCGCCCCAGCUCUAGAGAGGAUGUGUACCUCGUGCUGGCCACUGUUUUGGGCACGUUGCCUUGCUGUGAGAUAUGUAAGAGAUACUGCCUUUUCCACUAGCCGGCUGUCCGUGGGAGGCCCUCAUUUUGCUUUGCUUUUCUGGGCCUUGGAGUGUCUGUGAAGAAAGCAGAGGCUGGGUUUGGUUUCUUGCUGGCUCCUUCCGCAGGAGCUGCUCAUGAGCUGAUAAAGCCACAGAACACCUCCAGGCCCCAGGGUCUGAGCAGAGCCUGAUGCAGGAGUGUGGAGCCUGGGCAGGAGGGAGCGGGGGCCUGGGGUUGGAGAGAAGCGCUCGGGGAACGGUUGUGCAACAUCCAGCCACAGGAUCAGGGCCAGGAGGUGGGCGGUGGUGGAGGGGGGUAUGUGUCUCGUGUUCAGCCUGCAUGGCCGCUGCGGCCUGGAAGGGGCCUGUGUGUUCAUGGAGCCCAGGUCAGGGUCCGGAAUGAGGCGAGAGGGUGUGAGACCGGCAUCAGUGCCCUCAGUCCCAGCGCACAGUUCCAGGGAAGGGAACUGACCUUUGUUAAGGGUCUCCCUUUGCUUCUCUGAUUUCAUCCUAAAGCAACUAUGUGAAGUAGGUAUUCCUUCCCUUCUCCAGUUAAAGAAGUGGUCCGUACUAGGUGACUUCACCAACGUCAUGCACUUGGCCCCUGGGAUUGCCGAGAUUUAAACCUGGGCACUUUGGAUUCCAAAGCCUGUACUUUUUCUUCACCCUCUUGGGCUGAAGUCAGGCAUUUUGGGGAGCUAAGACCGUCUGAGAUGAGGCAGCCAGCAGAACGGAUGGUAACCAGAGUGAGAGGCCAGGUAUCUCGGGGAAUGGGGACCGUGGCAGGCAGUGGAGACGCCGCCACCACAUCCCUCUCUGGGGAGGCGGGGCUGAGCAUGGCGAAUACAGCCCUUCUCCAAACACGCGUUCAGCCCCUGCUGUCUGCCAGGGACCGUCCGGGGUGCUGCGGGUGCAGGGCUCAACAAAACCAAGCUUCUGCUCUUGCGAGGUGUACUUCCUGCUGUGGGGGGAGGUCAUUCAUGAUGGUGAGAAAGGGAAUUGGGAAAUAUGUAAAGGAGACAUAGAUGGAAAGGGGGACACCCACACACAUUAGAAGGACCCAGGGAUCCAGAUGGUGCUCACGGAGGGAAUUUAAGAGGCGGGGGAAGCCAUACUGGUAGAGCGCCCAGAGUUCACAUUGCUACAGUUGCUGACCCCUCUCUUCUCCUGGCAGCUAGAAACUCACCCUAGGUCCCCACAGCUCAUGGGGACUUGCAGUGAGUCAGGGAUCAAGCUGGCAGUAGACGUCAGGCCUCUUGUCAUCAGCAGAUGAAGGUUUUUCCAUCAGCCACCCUCCCCAGGUGCCAGCUGGCGUCUCUGGCUCAGCCUCGACGCGGUGCCCCCUCUCGUCCACACAGACGGGAACGCUCGGGUUAAGUCUUCAUCAGGUCACUGGUAAAGUAAGUGCCUGCCGGAGGCGGAAGUUAGCCCAGCCUCUCCUGCCAUGUGGUUCCAGCAUCCUCCAAAUAACGAAGGGAUGGGGGCAGGAGAGGGAGGAGAAGUCCCCUUGUGCCAGAGGCUUGGACGAGCUGGGUCUUGAGAGGUUGAGGCGGGUUGGUGGCUGGAGGUGUUUCCAGUGUGUGCAGCUGCUGGGCUCAGGGCUUGUUUAUCGAGUAGAAGCAGGUCUCGUGGUGAGUCUGGCCAUGUGAUUCCUCCCUCUUGGGCCCCGUGGUCGAAGCCUGGCCCACCUGGACCUCAGAGACUGCCACCUGCUGCUGGGGGGCGGGGGGGGGUUGCUGAUGUCACACAAGGAUGAGGUGUGGGUCUUGGGGUGUGGUUGUGGGUAGAAGACUCAGCAGGCCCACGUUCUGGCCCCGGCUCCCUUGUAAAACCUCACUCACUUUUAUCUCUUUGGGACUCAGUUUGGUUAUUUAUAACAUGAGGGAGUUGAACCAGGAUCUUUCUGAAGGUGGCUGCCAGCUCUGACAUGAGGGCUGCCUGGAUGUUCAUGGAGGUAUUUCUUAGAAGCCUGAGAAUGGCUACAGUCUCAUCUUCUGAAGAGAUGCUGUCACCAUCAAGUCGGGAAGGCGGAUGGAGACAGUUUUCCAGGGACGCCCCCCCCCCCCCCCGGGAGUGAGCGGGAAGCAGCCAGAGAAUGCAUGAAAGUGGCUGGUGAAGGUUAUCCAGGUGACAGAGGAUGUGGCCUCCGGCUCCCACCCAGGGGCUUGGCUGGAGAUGGGCCGUGUGGGAGCUUCUGGGGGCUCUCUGCGCCACAGGGGCUGGCUUGAGAUGCCACCGUGCUCUAGGCAAGAAGUUCUGUCCUUUCUGGCCCUAAAUCCUGGAGAGAACAUGGGACUGCGGGUCCUGUGUCCCAGGCCUGCCCUGCUCAGGAUCUGUGCCCCUUGCUGUCAGGAAGUUUUCCUUUAUAUUUAGCCAUCUUUUCUCAUGUGGUUGUUGAAGCUCUUCUUUUUUUUUAAAAAAAAAGGGGCGGGGGAAAGACGGGUGAAAAGAAAAAAAACAAAAAUAUCUCCAAGCCACCGUUCCAUUUUGACUUUUUAGUUUUGAGUCACUCUUUAAAAGGUAGCAAAACUAAAGCACAUGCAGGCAAGCUCAGGGUCCCAGACCCUCACAGGCCAGCCUGGGGCCAUGGCGACCUUUGUCCCCAGCGUCCAGCAUCCAGCGCUGCGUGGGCGGGGGGGCCUCUGGGGCUGCAGGCACCCACUGCACAAUCCGCCAAACAGAACGCAGAGUUUUAAAAUUAACAUUUCAAGAUACUUUCCGCGUGCUGUUUUGCUGAACUCUUCUUACCUGGGCCUCGUAGUUGAGAGCCCAACACCUCCGUCCCCCAGAGUGGUGUGGCAAACAGGGCUUGGGGCUAGGAUUGAGGCAGGAGCCGAAGUGAUUGGUGACCAGCGUCUUGCUGCAUGCCACACAAUGUUCUGCAGCUCUUUUCAGAUUUGCUGGCUCAUUUGGUCCUCACACUGCCUGUGAGGGUAGGUGGUGGGAUCCCCACCAUCAUUGAAACUGAGCCACAGACAGCCCUGCCAGGAUCCACUUGCUUGUACCUGUCGAGUUUGGAUCACCCACCCAGGUUCCUCGACUCCAGAUGUCAUUUCCUUGGGUUUUAGUUGUUGUUCAACUGACCAGUGGGGCAGGGAUGGGGAGGGGUCUUGGGCAGCUGACUUGAUCUCUGUAGGUCACAGAUCUCUCUUUUACACAUGAAUGGGGAAGGGAGCCUCAGAAUGUCCAGGUUCUCCUGUUCUCAGAUUCUUUCAGCUUCUUGGAGCUCUUGUGAAACCUGGCUUGCACUCCUUGGCCAGGAAGCCAGCCAUUCACCAUGUGUUUCUGGUGAGACUUCCUACAUUUGGAAGCUUCUGGAAUUACGCAGUGCUUCUCAAACCAUUCCGACACAUUUGUAGGGCACUUCAUGCAUGUGCAUAUAGUCCUGUUUCAACCAAGUAGCCACUUAGAAAUGAGGCUUCCCUGUGGGAUCUGUGAGAUUUUUCCCAGCAGACAGGUAAGGUAGGCCCAGAGUUUGCCCAGCAGGGGCGUGGCAUGCAUGUUAUCUGUUUGCUGGCUAGUGUACGUACAGCCCCCUGGGAGAACCGGCUAACGGACAGUGUGAAAUAUUGGAGCCCCCGGCUUCAGCUCUGGAUAUUGCUUCCUGAUAGAGUUGGAAAAGUAGGCCUAGGCGGCAGUGUUCCCGGAUCCUGAGUGGAAGCCCACUCUUCAUGAGAGUUAAGGCACAACUCAGACUGCACGUCAUCGGCCGUGCAGCCCUCUGAGUGGCCUUUAUUCAGAGAGACCCAGGGCCUGUACGAAGGGGCAGAGAAGUGUUCGUCUUUAUUUAGAGCACAUUAACAUGAGAUGGUUUAGGCUCUCCUCAGGGCCUGGAUCUCGAAGCACUGGGGUUGGACAGAGUGGCAGCGUGCGAAUGUCUGUCCGCUUGUAUUUCGUAGAUGUAGGCUUGGCUCACAGAGAAGCCCUGUCAUGGGGAGUCCGCAGGGCAGUUGUUUUCCUGGACAAAGCCUUUGAUAAGUUUUGUGUGAAGAUUUGUCAUAUGGCACCCAGAUCUUUCUGCUCUCCCUGAGGGUGGGAAGGAGGAGACAGAACGUACAGCCGGGAGGUGAUCUGGGCCGGACCUCAGGGAGAACUGUGGGGGCCCAUUUGCUGAGGGCUCCCAAAGAAACACAGAGCCUCUUUAUCUGAGAAGAGGGACUGGAUGUCCCUGACAAGGUCCCUCCCGUCCCAAGUCUGUGGGACUCCGAGACCGUCCCUGGAACAGCAUGAGCUUUGGGUGCCAGGACCUAGAGUAGGCGCCGUCUUUUCUUUCCGCCUCGGAGGCAGGCCUGACCUGGGUGGGGGCAUCGGGCCUGGAGCUCUAACCUUGUUUCAUCGUGCAGAGAGAACUUCUGGAACUGACCCUCUAGGAUUGACAUUAUUUGUAAAUGAAAAAGAGGAGAAAGCCACAUUGUCCCCCAUCGCUGUCCAGAAAGAGCCCUGAGCUGCUCUAACCCUAUAUGUGAACCACUGCCACCAUCUACCCUUGCUGAUUCCCCCAGCCUGAGGGAGCUUCGAGAGGCACUGGAGAUGUGAAGGAGUUGGAGGGUGGGCCAGGGGGCAGGGACAGAUAGGGCUUGCUGGGAGGGGGGAGGAGAUGGAAGAGGACCAUCUCGAGGCAGGUCUGCAGCUCUGGGAACCUCUGCACUGCCUGCCGUUCCGAAGGCACACGUGGGUUCACAUGUGCAUGCUGUUAAUUGGGAACCCCAAAGUCUGAAAUAAACCAGUUAAUGGCUGAAUGAGGGUUGCUUUCAUCUGGAGAGUCGUAUGUCCUUUUGUGUAAUUCCUGUCUGCAGAUUUAGCGUCUGAAGUCCUGACAGGUUAGGGACCUUUCCUGGGCCCUCCCGUCUGUAAGAUCAUGCUUAUUUUAUAUUGCUGUUCUGUCCCCUCUCUUUCUUCUUUCCCACUGUCACACAAUCCUUAGGAACAUGUAACUGUUUGUGCACUUGUGUUCCUAUCUCCUUGGGGUACCAUUCUUCCAGGGUCUCUGACAUUAUCGAAUGUACCGCAUUUAUUUCAAAUGUGAACAGACCACAGGCUCACUGCAGAGGAGAGCCAUCUCUGAGAUGGGGCAGCAGCCCCUAGAAAUCUCCUCUCCACCUCAUCCUGGAGCGGGUCAUCCGGAGCCCCGAGGAGAGGAGAUCCAGGGCAUCUUUGCUCGGCCCAGCUCAGCCCCACGUCAUGCCUUCUGUUUGGGGUGGGGUUGGCUCAGGCAUGAAUCCCCCACCCCCAACACUAUUAGCUUUCUCUUCUUUUCAGCUUGAACCCUGAGUAGUGACCUUGAAAGUCCGAGACCCCAUGUCACCUUGCUAGGUAAGGAUGACAGAGAGAAACAGGGACAGAGGGGAAAGGAACCCAUGCUCCUGGACACUGGCCUCUCUCCAAGACAGGUGAACUCUGUGUCCAGAGAGGAACUCUCUGGCCCUAAUGAAAGUUGUUUGUAUUUUCUCUCCCUCGCUCCUCUCUCUCCUCUCUCUCCCUCAACGCCCCCGCCUCCACCCUCCAGCCUCCAAAAGAAUGUAAUCUGCUGGACAACAAACAAUACUGUUAUAAAACUUCGAAAACAAGAGGGUGAGGCCUCCCUGACAAGGAGAAGGGCAUGCCGGGUAACAGCCGAGGAGCCUGCCAGGCCCAGGAUGGAGCCGGGCGAGGGCCCAGUUGGCCGGGUACCUGGGCGCCUGCCCCUGCCCAGCCCACCAGCCGAGCCAUCCCUAGUCCAGAGGGGAAGGAACCGAAACAAAAGCAGAGGCAGAGAAGCUCCCAAAAAGGGGAAGUUGUACGUGUUCCCCUCUCUCUGAUCUGAUGGGAGUGUGCUAGACUGUGAAACUUCCUCCCCCAGCCCCGGCCACCUCCCUUCCCUUCACCCUCCCUCCUCCUGCCUCCUCCCACCACUCUCUGUUCCAGGUCCUGAGACUGGCAGGCCAGGCCCCGAUAACAGAACAAGGCUGGCCCAGCCGUGUAGGCACAGCCACCGGCUGGCCAGCUGCAAGGGAGGCAGGCAGGAAAGGUGCCCCCGGUUGGCUUUGGACUCUGGACAUACCCUCUGUGUGCCUAGCCUUCCUGCCCACAACUAGGAAAGUGGAACCACGUCAUGGGCUGUGUCCCAGUCCGUGUGCUCCACCAGCUGUGUGCCCAGGUAUCAGGUAGAGCCGCCACUCGGGGGUCCGACGGUCUGCCCCCAGCGUCCUGGUGCCUAUGGGGGGUCAUGCUCCAGGGAGGCUGAGGGUCCUGGUGCCUGCGGGGACGUGGGGGGUUGCUUUCUGUCCAGGAGGAGCGGGGGCUGAGCUACAGAGCCCAGGAGGCUCCAGGCAGGCCCAGGGUCCUGUGAGUGGGGGGCCUGGUGGGGUACUGCGUCUGCUGGUUCCUCUUGGCCAUUGAGUGAGUGGGUGACCCAGCUCCGCCUGGGGGAGGGGGAAGCUGGGCUCAGGGACAUCUCCCUCCAUCCUGCCCAGUUAGAUUUACCUGAGACUGAAGUUUCACUGCCACAUUCAUCUUGACUGCUUUGAGCACAUGGUUUGGGAGUGAUGAGGGGAAGAUGGCAGUUGUCUGCCUUUGGUUGGGGGUUGUGCGGACCCGUGAACUGGGUGGUGGGUAUUGUGUUUGUGUGAUGGGCUAUAGGCGUGCUCGCUUUUCCUCUCGUGGGAAGCAGUUCAGGGCUGGGCCCAUCCUCCUCUGCCUGAGCUAAGCCACUCUCUGGGGAGAUGUGGGGGCCCCCAUGUUUCCAUCGCUGCUCCAUCGCUCAUCCUUCUCUGUGCUCCCCACUGUCUUCUGCUGCCCCCCACACCCCACGGCUUCCCAGGGCAUCCCAUCCACCCAGCCAGCCAGCCAUUCCGACCCUGGGCCUGUGCUGAAUCUGGGAGAUUUCCAGAUUUAGGUCUUCAUUGGUGGUGUCGAGAAGGGACAGAGAACCAAACUUCGUGGAAAGCAGCUUCCUGAGUACUUAGGCCUCCGUACACCUGUCCCAGGGAAAACCGGAGUUGCUGAUGCUGGGCCCACGUGAGCAGAGAAGGCUGUUACCUGUUGCCCUGUUACCUCCACAGGCAUGUGAGGGGCUCAGCGGGUCUCGAGCACGUUAGUCUCACUUCAGGAUCCAGGGUCUGAGAAGUGCUCUGAUGCCUGGGUGCUUGAGCCCUCCUUUGGUGGGGGGAGGGGGGGUGCGGCCCGAGCGGCCAGGAAAACAGCCAGCUCCACGUUCUCCUCCUCCCCGGCCCCCCAUACACAUACCCUUCAUUUUAUCACCCUUUCCUCUGAUUCAUUAACCACAGCUAGUUGGCACCAGGCCCCACCCUGACAGCUCAAGACAAAAUGUCCGGGACACUGGCUCUGGCCUGGGGCCGAGUGACAGGAAGCUGGGCCGGGCCUCUCCAUUUGCACAUACAAUGGGGCUAGGACCGUCUGCGAGGCAGAACGGCCCCCAUCUUCAAAAGGGUCUUCCCCAGGCCCAUCUCUCACCACGGUGACUCUUCCUCACUGCCAGGAGCCUCGAGACCAGCAUUCCGGGUGGCAGGAAGACUGUGAUCUGGGCUCCACUUCCGGCGCCCCUCCCCCGCGCUGCUGGAGCUGGCUUCAGUCAUGUAAGUAGCCGUGACUCAGCACCCAGCCCGGUCGGAGGGAGAAGCUGCUGCCUCGGGAACCUUCCCAGCGUUCUGGAUUUGAACACGUCGUGGUAACAUAGAACGAGCCGGCAGCAUCAGCUUCCCGGGGGUGCGUGUCUCUUGGCUCCGUGGGUUUGCUUAUGGAUCUGAUAAACCAGGAUUCCUCCUCUCCUUCCCGUUUGCCUCCCAUGUUAUUUGUGGGCACCAUGCCUGGCAUGCGAUUUUUAGGACUUUAAAAGACCCAGACAGCAUCAUUUCUAGAACGCAGCAGAAGCUCUCUUUGCAAUCUCCAGACUGUUCUUUAACCCAUGGCCCAUGAAUUCUGUCUCUUUAACCCUCAGAUGUUUUUGUUUGGCCCGCACAGAGUUUUGUUGAUUUUUUUUUUAAUGUAUCUGAUUUGCAUGCCUUUAGACAAAACGCAGCCUCUCCAGGUCACUGUAGUCCUGCUUCACGCUGUCCCUGCUUCUGUCCUGUUUCCUCUCCCAGCCCUGGAGCAUUUGAAUACCCUGAGACCAGUCCUUGUAAGCCGUCCUUCUUUUUAGAAGAACUGAGGUCCAUUCCAGGAAAGUGCAGGGCCCUGCUCUCAGAGUCUGGCCGAGCAGGAAUUACAGCCACUGUGUUCUGAUUCACUGUGUGGUGACCUUUCCUCCACCCUCGGUCCCUUCCCGGGCAGAGGAGUGUCCUAGGCAUGAGGGGGUGGAAAAACCUCUAAAUAGAAUGUCUGCACAGGAAUGGAUGGGGGCCUCAGUGUGCUUCCCAAACCGUCUUCCUGCGUGGUGACACCUCCCAGAGCUGACAUAGCCACCCCUCCAGCUGGGCGGUUUUCCUUCCUGGAUAGUGCACCAAACCCUUCCCACUGGCCAGUUUGCAUGGGGCCAGUAGGCCAGGCUGGGUUGAUCACCAUCUGCUUUUGACAGCAGAGCCCUGGCCGGCUGGGGCUUCCCCAGGCUGCCCUCUUACAGAUCCAGGUGGCCAUCGAGCUGGGUGCCAGGGAGAGCGAGCCCCUUCCAGCUGUACCCCACUAAGGAACAAAAACACCAGCUGGCUUCAGGUAAGUGAGUCAUUGCUUGGCAGACUUUGUGAGAGAAGCCUGGUUCUUUUGGGAGCCCUGAGACCUGCAUGGACUCUUGUAUCCAGUGGGGUUGGAGGGGCAAAAUGUUUCGAUACUAAGAUGACUUUCUCCCCCUCUUCUUGUGUUUGAGUGUCUGUGGUGAUGUGUUAGGAAUGAUGUCUCUCUUCCUCCGAGAACUGAGUGUCGUAGAACUCAGGUGCUGCGAGCCCGAACUCUGGGUCAUGGCCUUUAGUUCCCUCAGUGACAGUUGCUCCCCUGUCAUGUGCCAGCUGCCCCCCCCCACCCGAACUCUGGGCUGAUGCUCCCUGGGUAGCAGGAGAGACAGUCAUUAAUCACCCUGAUGACCACAUGACAUACAUGUGUCCCGAAGGACAAGAACUAGGUGCUGUGAGAGGGUGUAACCCAACGCCGCGCUCACCUGGGGAAAGAGUCAGGUGACCUACAUUACCUGGGGCAGGGUUGAUGGGUGGUAGCUCUGGGAAGGUGGACAGAGAAUGUUCCAGAAAAAGGGAGCAGUGUAUGCAGAGGCCUGCUGGGGAAGGAAGGGGGCCCUCUGGAUCACUGAAAAACACCUGUGUAACAACACAUUAGGAAAGGUUCUGUGGAUACUGGCUGUUGGAAGUUGCUAAGAAGGAAGAGUUCAGCUGGAGUCAAAAAGGCUUUUGAAAAGCUGAGAAGGACCAAAUGUAGAGCUCUGACACCCUCAUUCUAUAGGACCCCCUGAAAAUGACUCUCAUUUACCACUUACUUCUUGACCUUACCACCCUGGAAGUUACCUGCUUCCUGGGACCCAGCUGUUGAUGGCCGGUGUCCUUGAUCAGAGCUACUGCCCUGUUCUCCUCUCAGUGGCUGAGGCCGUGCAAAGGCCCUGGGCUCCGAGCCCAGUGCUGGGGUCAGAAUCUGGAGUCCAGCACAGGCCUGUGGGCGGUUCAUCUCCAGCGCCUCUCCCCCCACCCCCCCAGCCAUGCUCUGGGUGCAGAAGGACACAGCAAGCCAGCUCAGAGCACUGGGCCCCCUGCAGACCCAGCUGGGCUCCUGUCUCAACCCAAGUGAAAUGUGUUGUCAGCCACAUCCAUGCAGAAGCAUUGCCUAGGACCACCCCCGGCCCCCAGCCUUGCUCACAGUUGAGUUCAAGAACAGAAUGAGAUGAUAGGCCAGCCGGGGAGAGGCCCCGCGGGCCAAGGGACAGGAACAGAGACUGUGGAGCUAGCUCUGGGGUCUCACCAUGUAGUCGUUGUGUGACCGUGGGCAAGUCACUGUGCACAUUAAGGGGCAGCUUUUCCUGCAAGCAGGGAGUAGUACGUGCUUCCCGGGGCCGACGCAGGUGAAGAGCACAUCUCAGUGUUCACACUUCAUUUCCUCCUCUUUCCUGGACUAGCUGCUCUUUCCAGGAGCCACAGUAAAGACAGGCCUGAAUCUGGAGGCCCCCCGAGCUGGUGGGGAGCCCGCAAGGUACACGUUCGAAUCUGUCUCCUUUUUCCCUGCUUGGGGCAUCCCGGGGAAAUACAGACAUGUCUUCUCAGCGUUCAGACAACCAAAACCGAUGCAUUAAGGAGAUGGGAAAUCUAAUGUGAACACAGGAUGCAAAUCUUAUUUUCAGACAAAUUCUGAAAACCACACACCAUUCCGUUCUUGUGUUAGAGGAUUAUCUACUUAACCCAGUUUUAGGACACCCCAUUUUUUGGUGUCACAGCCGAGGAUAAAUAAGAUUGCCAAGGUUCUGAGCCUUACAUAAGGCAGGGAAGGAGGAGCCCCAGCUCUUUCUGAGCAGGGCGCACGGAAGGGUUGCCCAGGUCCGCAUGAAACACCCCUCCGCGUAGUAGCUAGAACCUCAUGGGCAGAUAGGGGGCUUGUUUCCUGAUGACAUGAGAUAGGAUCGGAAAACACUGUGCAUACUGUGAGAUAUUUUAUAAAGCAGGGCAGUGCUAAUGAGGCUCUCAAUGCAUCUUAAUAAUAGCUCUGGGAGACUUGAUUUUAUCCUAUAGAUAAUACUCUGGUAGGACCAGUUGUGGAAUUAAGCAGCACUAGGGAGACUUCCUGAGUUGUGUAUCGCCACCGGGUGUGCGAAGCCUCCACUGUGACACCAGCAUCCUCGAGCACCACCGGGGAGCUCUUCGCUGGGCCUUUCUCACGGAUGGUGAUGUCACCUCACAAGUGGAACCACAAGAAGGCCUCCCUCCCUCCUCGGGGUGGAGCCUGGGUCUUCUGAUGGCGUCUUCCUCCUUUCUUCAAUGAGAUUCUCUUCUUCUGGAAGCUGGUUUCACAUGGUGGCUUAGAUUUUUCCAUCUUUGUAUCUAGCACCAUUUGAAAUCAGUGUUUUAGGAGUAAGAAUUGCAGCGCAGCAAAGGGCCACCUGCUGAAGAGCUUCUGUGGGUGGGCCGGGCACCCGCCACCUCCCCGCCGCCUGAGCUGGCUCAAGAAAAGAAGGCCUUGCAAAGGAGAAUGCACCCCAGCAUAUGUGGGCUGGGGAGGGGGUGGUGGUUAAAAGAGCCUCUGCAUCUGAGCAGGGACAGAGGGGCUUCCAGCUUGCAGCAGCCCCCGGGGCUCACCUGCCCAUUGGGCCUUGGAGCGCAGAGAUGGGGCCAUUCAGGGCUCGACUGUACCAGGGGAGGGGUGAGGCUGUGUCCCCAGAGGACAGUCCCAUUCGCGUCAGCACCGCACCUGCUCCGGACGCCCCGGAACGUUCCGCGGCUGUGGCAGUGCGGCUGGACUGAGACUCGCCACCUGCACGGUCGGGGGCAGGACCCCCAGGAGCACCACCGGACCCAUCUCUUACACAGGCUGACCGAUUUCUCCUGGUGUUCAGAGUCUGUUUUUGUCUAGCACCAUUUGAAAUCGGUUAUGAUGUAGGGGGAAAAGCAGCAGCUUCGAAGCCUCGCGCCGACUCUGGUGAGCAGCCGCCCGUGCUUUCCUGGAGGACGGAUGGGCAGAGAGAGGGGAAGGACGAUCUCGUGCUUUUCACUAACUUCUUUAACUGCAUUUAUGAUCCCUUACUGCAGAGGUAAGAGAGACCUGACUGUAUUUUGAAAAGCAAAUGGCUUUAAUGUAUCCGAUGUCCGGUCGCAUGUUGCCGAAAUGUGGGCGGUGCCGCGGAUGCUCUCAGGGGUUGCUGUUGAGUUCUCUUUCUGUGAAGAGUCCGUUCAUGCCUCCCCACCUGAAUAAAUAUUUCACUCUAGUCAACUAAUCAUCUCUUUGUUUUUCAUCCGUCAUUUCCUAUUCAUAAUUCCAUGACAAGUGGGGUCCUGGAAAGGUAACUUGCAAUGUAGAUUUAUCCACUUGCUAAGCGUUUCAGCAGGAGUCGGCAGAAGACACACGUUAAAAAAGAAGCCAGCCCAUUAGGACAAGAAUGGAAUUCCGUGGGCCAAAGGACAAAACGAGAGAAAAGAUCACAGAAAAAUGUUCAAGCCUGGGUGGAGGGAUGCUGCUUAGGGAAGGGGAAACUGAGGCUGGUUCCAAACGGCACCUCUGUGGUCCGUGAUCCUUUGAGAAAUUUUGCCCAACUGAACACACUGUGGCGUGGCUGGUAAAGGAGAGCAGCCUGAGGAUUUCCCUUCCUUUAUAAAAGCUGCAGGAGCUGUACUCGUGGUGCAGGAUCUCGAUGAGCCUGUGAGGGACAGGGCGAACCAGUUCUGGAAGGGUAUUCAGCGAUGAGCCUGAUUUGGCUUUGUGGGGGAUUAAAUCUGGGGAAUCUUCAGGUUGGAGGGCUGUGGCCCCUUGAGUGAGCAUUUUGCACCACACGUGGGGCCACCUGUGAGCUGCCGGCCAUACUUGCAUUUCACACCAGCGGUUCACAAGAAGUGAUGGCGACUCUCCUGCCCGGGGAAACCUUCCCAAGUGCGCACCCCCCAGAUAGCCGCCCUGCCCGCUGGGGUGGGGAUGGGAGGCAGCUCAGCAUGCGCUGGGAACCCUGCCCGGGGAACGUGCCG